AACGAACGCUGGCGGCAUGCCUAACACAUGCAAGUCGAACGGGACCUUCGGGUCUAGUGGCGCACGGGUGCGUAACGCGUGGGAACCUGCCCUUAGGCUCGGAAUAACUCCCCGAAAGGGGUGCUAAUACCGGAUAAUGUCUUCGGACCAAAGAUUUAUCGCCUUUGGAUGGGCCCGCGUUGGAUUAGCUAGUUGGUAGGGUAAAAGCCUACCAAGGCGACGAUCCAUAGCUGGUCUGAGAGGAUGAUCAGCCACACUGGGACUGAGACACGGCCCAGACUCCUACGGGAGGCAGCAGUGGGGAAUAUUGGACAAUGGGCGAAAGCCUGAUCCAGCAAUGCCGCGUGAGUGAUGAAGGCCUUAGGGUUGUAAAGCUCUUUUACCCGGGAUGAUAAUGACAGUACCGGGAGAAUAAGCUCCGGCUAACUCCGUG
rnacentral:rRNA from 1 species